rnacentral:tRNA from 2 species
CGCGGGGUAGAGCAACUUGGUAGCUCACAAGGCUCAUAACCUUGAGGUCACGGGUUCAAAUCCCGUCUCCGCCAUAUAU